rnacentral:lncRNA from 1 species
GAGAGUAGUGAGGAGACAGGUUUCAGAGCUGGGAGAGUCCUUGGGCUCAUUUGGUUGUCAGAUUCCUGGUCACCAUGUGGGAAAUCCGGGAAAGGCAGGGGACUUCGCUGGCGACGCAUGGCAUAAAUAUACCCAACGCCGGGGCUCCUGGGAUCGACGGAUUUUUUUUUUCAAUGCCUUAAUGGGUAAUUUCCUUCCGUAGCAACGAGAAAAUGACUGCCUAGUUAUUGUAGUCUAUGCGUAGAAAUCUACAGCAAAUGAUGGAAAUUAACAAGGCAGGAGGGAGAAAAGGCCAAAGGAACCGCCGCGGCCUUUCGUCCCGAUCUUGGGGCUGCGCUGUUUUUCUCCGGGAAACACCUAGCGAGGCCGAGAAAUUCAGGCCUAAAGCGAAGAUCUAGAGGCCAAGAAUAGUGACCAAGGUCCCUCCACCUCCAAGACCAGGUCACUGCCAGGGGUCCCCGCCCAGAGUCGAGGCGAUGCCUCCCUACAGCGCCACCGCGUGGGCUGCGGCUGAAACCGGCUGCGCUGGCUGGAGCGAACCCUUCCGCAGCGCCGGAAUCCUCAGGUUAAAGAGGAGUGGAGCGGGUGCGGUGCCCAGUCCAGGACACCAUCAGACUACUCAACACCAAACUGUGACCGCGUAUGCAAAACAUCCUUGCCUGCAGUUGCGCCCAGACGCUUGUGUUGAAAACUACACCUAAAAAGAGCAAGACAUGACAUUCCACCAGCAUCCCAAACUUCUUGGCAGGCCGAUCCACACCACCCUAGCCCGGGCAGGGGAGUUCAGGCCGUCGGAUGCCAGGCAGCCCUAACCGGAGCAGUCGCCGGAGCUCACUGCGACUUCGCUGCUAGGCUAGAACUUCACAGAGUUGUUCAAGCCAGGACGCAAAGUCUAGGCACUUACUGGAACCACAGAGAAGGCGCGUAGUCAGUGUAUCCUGCGGACCAAAUUGCCCAGGGACUGCUUAGAAUACUUCCUUGGAUGGCGCUUUCACUUUUUUCAGGGUCACAGGAAGCCCACCAGGCACUCGCUUAGUCCAGUUAGGCUUGUAGUCUGAACUAAAGUCCGGGUGACAGAGACUCUGCAUCCCGGGACUCUGUCCUCUUCAUGCACGGUGGGUGCCUUCCCUCCGCGUCCUGAGGACAAGCCCAGCAGAGCUUGGCGUCUCCUGGCGCCGGUCUGGAGUCGCAUUAAGACGUGGCUUAGAAUGCUUUGCUAGGAAGGGUGGUGGUGUUGUUUAAUAAAUUAAAUUCUCUACCCACCUCUACCCAUCCCCUCACUCGCACACAGUGGAACUGCCAGCAAUUGAAGGGAAUAAAUAGCCUACUCAGAAAGGUGUGAAUUCACCUAAUGCCCACCCUAAUUAUAACAGGAGCAUGCCCUGGACACCCGAACGUGCAAGUUCCUCUCCGGGCCAGAUCUGGGUCUUUGGAACCAGUGACCAGUGCCACCCAAAAUAUAUCUCUGCAGUCGGGAGGGUUGAAUUGCGGCUCUCCGCGACAACUUGGCCUGCUCUCCAACAGCCUCAGCAGCAGCAGAGGUCUGUUCAUUUCUGAUACCUGGUACCCGUGACAAUCUUACCCUGCCAAGCCUCACAGUCCCGGCCAAGUGGCUCACCUCAGCUCUCUGCGCUUGCCUUCGCCCCUCUUGCUCAGUCCCUAGUGAGAAGUGGUGGGUCAACGAGGCGCCGAUGCUGGCCGCUCACCUCCAAGAGCCAAGGAAGGUGCCCUAGGCGUCGCAGGUCCAGCCCCGGGGCUGAUUUAAAUAACUAAUAAGCUCAGAGAAAUUUUACGAGGGGAACUUUUCCUUUUAGUAUCAAUAAAGCUUAGUAAUUGGG